GGAGUCAUCAUCCUCUUCACCACCACCAUCAUCACUUUCAGAUAGUACAUAAUUGUCCAUUACAUAGCUACAUGUUGCAGCGCAACAAACACGUACCGCCAUGCCCACUUUUUACUCCUUUUCCAUUGCCGCAAAACCCUGAACAAAUUACUCCGUCUUUACAGCCAGAAGUUAUGAAUAUGCAGAUUUCUGAGCCUAAUGUCAGUUUUAACGAUUCAGGAAUGAUGCAAAAUGAAGGUGAG
rnacentral:misc_RNA from 1 species